rnacentral:rRNA from 1 species
AUGACGAGUGGCGCACGGGUGCGUAACGCGUAUGCAAUCUACCUUUAACUGGUGAAUAGCCCGAAGAAAUUCGGAUUAAUACACCAUAGUAUAGUUGAGUGGCAUCACUUAAUUAUUAAAACUCCGGUGGUUAAAGAUGAGCAUGCGUGACAUUAGUUUGUUGGUGAGGUAAUGGCUCACCAAGACUACGAUGUCUAGGGGAUCUGAGAGGAUUAACCCCCACACUGGUACUGAGACACGGACCAGACUCC